CUACGGGUGGCACCAGUGAGGAAUCUUCCACAAUGGACGAAAGUCUGAUGGAGCGACACCGCGUGAAGGAUGAAGGCCUAACGGUUGUAAACUUCUUUUCUGAAGGAGCAUAAUGAGAGUACUUCAGGAAUAAGGGACGGCUAAAUACGUGCCAGCAGCCGCGGUAAUACGUAUGUCUCAAGCGUUACCCGGAAUCACUGGGUGUAAAGGGUUCGUAGGUGGAUUUUUAAGUCAGGUAUGAAAGACCGGAGCUCAACUCCGAGUUUGUGCUUGAAACUGGAAAUCUAGAAUCAGGGAGAGGUAAGCGGAAUUCUAAGUGUAGGGGUGCAAUCCGUAGAUACUUAGAGGAACACCAAAAGCGAAGGCAGCUUACUGGAACUGUAUUGACGCUCAUGAACGAAAGCGUGGGGAGCGAAAAGGAUUAGAUACCCUAGUAGUC
rnacentral:rRNA from 1 species